rnacentral:misc_RNA from 1 species
CCCAAAGUGGCCACCUAAGGACUUGGCAAGUGAAGUUCCAACUCUCGAAUCAGCUGGCAUUGAUCUUCUUUCUAAAAUGCUCUGCCUUGAUCCCAGCAAAAGAAUAACAGCCAGGAGUGCUCUUGCGCAUGAAUACUUCAAGGAUAUUGGUUUCAUACCCUAAUUGCUUUUUUCCAAUCAUACAUAUAUAGAUAUCAUUGUAUAGGACUUGGUGGAUUUUGAUUUUGUGAGACACAUGUAUGUUCUCUGCUAUUUCCUCCUCUUCUAGUUUUUUUUUUUUUGGGUUUCGAACCGAUUUAGUCAUCUUGGAAUUGUCUAGCAUCUGUUGGUGCUGGGUCUUAUGCUCUUUUAUGUGUCCUAUAAAUACAGGGGAGACACAGAGGGUUUGGAUUUUCCCCUUUUUUUUUUUUUUUUUUCAGUUUGCUUG